rnacentral:rRNA from 1 species
GACGAACGCUGGCGGCGUGCUUAACACAUGCAAGUCGAACGAUGAAGCCCUUCGGGGUGGAUUAGUGGCGAACGGGUGAGUAACACGUGGGCAAUCUGCCCUUCACUCUGGGACAAGCCCUGGAAACGGGGUCUAAUACCGGAUAACACUUCCGCUCGCAUGGGUGGAGGUUAAAAGCUCCGGCGGUGAAGGAUGAGCCCGCGGCCUAUCAGCUUGUUGGUGAGGUAAUGGCUCACCAAGGCGACGACGGGUGGCCGGCCUGAGGGGGCGACCGGCCACACUGGGACUGAGACACGGCCCAGACUCCUACGGGAGGCAGCAGUGGGGAAUAUUGCACAAUGGGCGAAAGCCUGAUGCAGCGACGCCGCGUGAGGGAUGACGGCCUUCGGGUUGUAAACCUCUUUCAGCAGGGAAGAAGCGAAAGUGACGGUACCUGCAGAAGAAGCGCCGGCUAACUACGUGCCAGCAGCCGCCGUAACAC